GCCAGUAGUCAUAUGCUUGUCUCAAAGAUUAAGCCAUGCAUGUGUAAGUAUAAGUAUUGUACAGCGAAACUGCGAAUGGCUCAUUAAAACAGUUAUAGUUUAUUUGAUAAUCGAAAGUUACAUGGAUAACCGUGACAAAUUACAGCUAAUACAUGCAUCAAGACCCCGCAAGGGGUUGUAAUUAUUAGUAUUAAACUAAUUCCUUCGGGAAUGUGAUGAAUCAUAAUAAUCGAACGAAUCGUAGAACUCUACGAUAAAUCAUUCAAGUUUCUGCCCUAUCAGCUUUGGAUGGUAGUGUAUUGGACUACCAUGGCAAUUACGGGUAACGGAGAAUUAGGGUUCGAUUCCGGAGAGGGAGCCUGAGAAACGGCUACCACAUCUACGGAAGCAGCAGGCGCGAAAUUG
rnacentral:rRNA from 1 species